rnacentral:lncRNA from 1 species
UUGGGUUUGGGUGGAUGUGAGGAGGAUGCCUCAAACAUCUUGGGCUUUGCUUCUCAACUUAUUCUGCCUUCUGGGACCCCCCAGCCCAACACCAACCACCUCUUGGAUAGGUGAGCAUGCAGAUAUUUUGGAAUCUGAGUGUGGGGCAAGAUGACCGCGUAUGAAAGCUCAUUUUAGCACAAGUGCUGGCCCCUUGGUUUCCUACCUCUCCCCACUCUUGGCUGGCCAGAGAACGCAUCUGGUUGCACUAGACUCUGAACGGACAAUCACAAGCUGGCCAGCUCCUUGUUCAGGGUCUCCAAGAGAGAGAAAAGGGAACCUCAGUUACUAUUUGCCUUCUGGGGCCAAUGUCUCACUCCCAGAGCAGCAAUACUUACGGCUGCUGCACAACAGCCUCAGGACAUUCAAGGGAUCGUGACCCAUCCAGAUCAAAGCACACAAGCCCUGCCCACCAGAUACCAAGCACUCUACUGGGAAAUUAUGGGUUUUUUAAUUGGCUGAACAAUUAGAAUUUCAGACCUUGGGGAAUUUGAUUUCUUAAACAUACACCUUCCUCUACCUUGUGUCCCUGCUGAGGAAAGCCAGUCCUGGCUUUCUUCCUUUGAAUUGCUGAAUCAUGAACUCUGUACAUGCACAGAGGCUAUAUCCCUUGAAGGCAUGACCAAAGCCAAAGUAAAACCCCAAAGAUGAGCAAGAUGGGGCAUAUCUCUCCAGGGAGUGUUGCCACCUGGCUCGAUGGGAUAUUGCUUAAGGCCAAUGAAAGCCCAAGCAGGGAUUCCUAAUGGGGGAAGUUGCUGUCAUAUACUAGAGGAGCAGGAUCAGGAGGCUAACUUGGACGCCUGAGAACAGAAAAAAGCAGCAUCAAAACAACUACAUUUUAUAUAUAUAUAUAAAAUUAUUAUUGGUUUUCACACUUAUCACAUAAAAAAAAGAAAAACAAGAAAAAAGAAAAACAUUACCACACACAAAAAACAAAGAAAAACACAUAAAAAUAAAUUUUAACUUCCUGACUUCCUUGAAUCCCCUCUAACUGAAUUUCAUUAUAUCACCUAUUUAGCAGUUCUCCAAAUUCAUAUUUCUAAUAAUAUUAACUUCUUUCAUUUACUAACUUCUUCUCCUUUAUUAAUAUUCUAAUCCUUAAUAUUUAUAUUUGUUUUUGGGGGACAGGGAGCGGGUUAUUAUUACAAUAAUCCUGCCAGGGUUCCUAUCUGUUUACAAUUUGUCUGCAAUUAUUCAAUAAACCAUUUCCAUUCUUUUAUAAAAAGUCUGUUCUCUUGCUCCUAGAAACGGUCAGCAUACAACAGAGACUGCAUCCUGGGAACAGCUUCGACUGGCCACCUAAACCAGGUGAGGGCGGCCAAGGAGUCUCAAAUGCUCAGUGAGUUUGGAACUUCCCCUGUGUGCAAAGACCGGCUCUGGCAGAUUGAGCAGACGAGACCAAGCGUGGGCCCAGUGGUCAAGAAGGUGGUUUCUGCAUGUGCUGUGAAGGGGAAUUAGGGGCAGAUGGGGCUCACCAACCUAGAAAGGUAGCCCAUUGAGGAGAAGGAAAACUUAUCCUAAUUUGCCUUGUGGGAUAUCUUCGGGAGCUGAAAAGGCUAAGGAAAACCCUACACAAAUCUGGAGUGGAGUAACUCAGGCGGUUGGAUGGCGCCGUUUACAACCCCUUCUGACAACUCCUGCAGCCCAACUGGUGCCUAACUCUGCUUUCCUUGGAGCCACAUCUGCAAGGCCAAGAGAGGGAGUCUUGUCAUCUGGGAAGCCCAGGACCUCCAGACACACUGCCUGGGCUUGCUCUCUGGAGAGGUCACUUUGGGACUGCUAACAUCGUUGCUUGACGUUUGACCGCACUCCGCUGCUUCUCGAGACAGACAAAUGCCAACAUUAAAAAACUAUUUGAAAGAAUUUUAUUUCGUUCACAAAAGACAAUCUGGCAUGUGAUUAGGAUAAAGGUUUUCAGACAACGGGUGACACGUUUAUUGAUCCAGCUUGGAAGUCUCUGUCUUGUCUUCGCACAUGCGCAGUUCCAUCUAGGAGCAACAACAAGGGAAGGAGCCAAACUGUCGACUCCUGCAGCGAGACUCAGGAUUUCCACCCAUGCUCACAAAUGUAGGAAAAAGCACCCCAUAGGACAAAAGGAUGAUCACAGACUAGCAUGUUCAUAAGGGAACUUUAUUAGAAUA